GACGAACGCUGGCGGCGUGCCUAAUACAUGCAAGUUGGGCGCUGAAGGUUGGUACUUGUACCAACUGGAUGAGCAGCGAACGGGUGAGUAACGCGUGGGGAAUCUACCUUUGAGCGGGGGACAACAUUUGGAAACGAAUGCUAAUACCGCAUAAAAACUUUAAACACAAGUUUUAAGUUUGAAAGAUGCAAUUGCAUCACUCAAAGAUGAUCCCGCGUUGUAUUAGCUAGUUGGUGAGGUAAAGGCUCACCAAGGCGAUGAUACAUAGCCGACCUGAGAGGGUGAUCGGCCACAUUGGGACUGAGACACGGCCCAAACUCCUACGGGAGGCAGCAGUAGGGAAUCUUCGGCAAUGGACGAAAGUCUGACCGAGCAACGCCGCGUGAGUGAAGAAGGUUUUCGGAUCGUAAAACUCUGUUGGUAGAGAAGAACGUUGGUGAGAGUGGAAAGCUCAUCAAGUGACGGUAACUACCCAGAAAGGGACGGCUAACUACGUG
rnacentral:rRNA from 1 species